AGUUUGAUCCUGGCUCAGAUUGAACGCUGGCGGCAGGCCUAACACAUGCAAGUCGAACGGUAACAGAGAGUAGCUUGCUACUUUGCUGACGAGUGGCGGACGGGUGAGUAAUGUCUGGGGAUCUGCCUGAUGGAGGGGGAUAACUACUGGAAACGGUAGCUAAUACCGCAUAAUGUCGCAAGACCAAAGCGGGGGACUUUCGGGCCUCGCACCAUCAGAUGAACCCAGAUGGGAUUAGCUAGUAGGUAAGGUAAUGGCUUACCUAGGCGACGAUCCCUAGCUGGUCUGAGAGGAUGACCAGCCACACUGGAACUGAGACACGGUCCAGACUCCUACGGGAGGCAGCAGUGGGGAAUAUUGCACAAUGGGCGCAAGCUUGAUGCAGCCAUGCCGCGUGUAUGAAGAAGGCCUUCGGGUUGUAAAGUACUUUCAGUCAGGAGGAAGGGUGUGAAAUUAAUACUUUCAUGCAUUGACGUUACUGACAGAAGAAGCACCGGCUAACUCCGUGCCAGCAGCCGCGGUAA
rnacentral:rRNA from 1 species